UGUCAAGGCCUUGGGUUUGAUUCCUGAUAUCAGAAGUUGAUAACAGCAGCAACAACAAAAAAGCAGUGCUGACCAUUUCCUAGCCCUGCUUCAACUCCUCAAUUUAAGGAUAGAAUCCAUCUUGUUAGGCUUGCGCCCUUGGCUGGCUGUUUUCUCUUGUGUCUUGCCACCAGUCUGAAUUUGACCUUCUCUGACAUUUACAGACUCACAAAGCUAGGCCCCAGAUCCUCCUAGAUCUUGCCUGGAUUACUGCGGUGGCUUCUUAACUGGCUGCCCAAGAUUCUCAAAGCAUCCCUUUCAUCAUGCGACCCCUGAUAGUUUCAGGCCUGGGCUAGCCUUUCCCUGUCUUCACCCAGGGCUUGUACUUGAACUUCAUGGCUGCUUUCAAGCCUUACCUUCCUGACUGGCUCCAGGGGCACUGAGAGCUCCUCUGUGGUACUGAAUGCAUUCAUCCAGCCCUGUGUGGCAAGUGGUAUUUCUGUGCGUUUGAGGCAACAGUGGGCCUUUCAGGAAACUUCCUGUUCCCAGAGCCUCUAGGAGCUAUCUUUCUUCCUUAUUGGAUGAGGAGGGCCUCGAGGGUAAGAGUCCCUCAGUGCCUGCGCUGGCUGCCUUCUCAGUUGACCUGAGACCCUCCAGGACACAUCUGGCUUAAGUUUGGGCCUGUGUAGAGGCCUGGACCCUUCGCUGAAGGCUGCUCCCAGUGCCCCAGCCUGUGCUUGGGCAGGGUUAGCAGGCAUGGCUCUUGCUGGCAUGGCUGAGUCUUCACAGAAGGCAUUACAGAUUCCAAGUGCUUCUCUUACCCUGUGCUGGGUAUGAGUCUACUGCUGAACCUCUCUGCACCCCUGACACCCCAGUGGCAGGGCAACAGUGUGGCCAACUCCAAGUUCUGGAUCCUGGAGUUUUCUGCUUCCUGGAUUGCCAGUGAGCCCUGGACAGGUAAAACAAGCACCUGUCAUGCACAUUGACCUGUCAAGCCCAGCUGCAGUGACCCUUAUGUCGAAGUCCUGGACAUCUACCAGAUCUGACAGAUUCCCAUAGAAGAAGUGUGGCUUCAAGGGACUAUUUGAACAGAGAUUCCCCAAUGCUUUGGUCUUCAUCCAUGGUUCAUGUUUUGAAUGCUUGGUUCCCAACUUGUGGCAGUACUUUAAAGACUGUGCAGACUAAGCAGUGGGGCCUGGCUGGCAGAAAUAGAGCACUAGCAGUUGGCCUUUGGAGGUUAUAUGCACCCUGGCUCUACCUUACACUCUCUGCUUCCUGAUCAUCCAGGAUGUGAACAAGUCUCUCCUGGGCCUCAUGUCUUCUCACACUGAGAACUCUGAAGCCAUGAACCAACGUAAUCAUCAACAGAGGCUUGCAGGAAAGCUCUCUGUGCAUUGCACACAUCUUUGAGGUGUUAACCAAGUGGCCUGGGGCUCAACCCCUUAUCUAUGAGCUGAUGACAGAAAGAAAGAAUCAGAGAAGAAACGAGUGUGGUUAUCAGGGUCUUGGAACCCCUGCAGGGACAACCCCUUGGAAGUACCCCAAAUCCUGAGCAGAGUACUCACGACUACCCUCCAGGAGCAAAUGGCCUGAUCUGCAAUGCUAGACCCCCAACAAACCGGGGGUGUCUUGCAUUUUUUCAAAGGAACUAAAAUGGCUGUCUGCGCUGGAAGAGCUGAGGAGAAGGAUGUUCCCCAGAGCCCCAGUGGACUCAGUCAGAAAUGUCACCAGACAUUGGCAGUCAACACCUGAGGUCUCUGUGCUGCCACCCUAACCUGCACCUGGAGCUGCUGGUUACCCUGAAAGACAAAUGACAUGCAGGCCAUCAACCCUGACUGCUGUGCAUGAUUGUGUGUGUACUGUCUAGCCAGGCCUGCACCCAUGGCCCACACCACGUCCACCAGGUCUGGAAUUUAGGUGUGGAGGAGACAGUUAUUGAAAGGUAGCUUGCUUCUGCCUGUGGUGAUCAUGGCUGGGACAUUGAUUCCAGAUCAAUGUAGGGAGAACAAGGGUGGCCAUGCCAAAGCUGGGCAGGGACAUUAAAUUAAGAUACAUGCUGGGUAUCAGUAGCUAGGUGUGUGGCAAAGGGCUUGCAAGUUAAUUACUAUGACAGUCAAGUGAUUUCUAAGUCCUGCCCAAUUCUUGACCAUAUGUCCCUAACUCAGUCAUAGCUGAGGGACUUGUUAUAGGUGACUUUCUGGGAGCUACUCCCAGGCCAGCUCAUGUCCUUCCCAUGGUUUGCUGUGCUCUCUAAUGUGGGUCAGCAAGGAAGUGAGCCAUGGGUUCCCUGGUAUUUGGAGGGCAUUUGGGUUCAGCAGUUCUGGCUACAGUGCCAGGAUUUCUAGCUGCCUGAGCUUGGCAAGUUCCUUCGCCUAGGAAGCACAGGCCUUCAGCCCUUUUCUCUGCACGAUACCUGAUUUCCAAGACCUAUUUUUUUUCCAACAGGAGAUGGAAUCUGUAAAAUGCUUGGUGCAAACUGCACCACGGUGGUCUGAUCUCCUUCUCUCACUCCCCUCCCUCUGGAGGGCUUGGGUCUGGCUCUCUCUUGCUCCUUCAUGGCUCUCUGGUAUCUUCUCCCACAGUUGUAGUUAAAGUAGUCUGGAGUAGAAAUGGGAGAUCCAACCUGGGGGUGUUUGUGUGUGCCUGACUCUCACAGAGCUGUUCUGGGAAUGCAGAAAUGAGCAGGGUAGCAUAGAGGUGACGUUUCAGAUUGUAGGUGAGGAGCAAGGGCUCCGGAGUCAGACCACACUAUAACUCAGUGUGCAGUCUUAGGGCAAGUCACUUAUUUGCACUGUACCUCAGUUUCCCCUGUCUGUAAAAUAGGUAUAAAGUUAAUCAACCUCAUGGAUGAACAAUGCAUUCCAGUGCUGAGCACAUCCACCAGUUUCAAUAAAUAUGUUCUGGCACUAACUCUGACUCCAGCUGAGGAGUCAGGCUAGGGAGCUGUGCACUAGGGUUGGGUGGUCCACACAACAAUUGACUUUUCUCCCACAGAUGGGGGAGGUCAGAGGGUGGAACACAGAAUAGGUAGCCCGUGAGUGAUGGGAACUAUUUAUUGAAGUUAUUUCUUUACUUUUUGGCACUGGAGGUGGUUCCCAGGACUUGGCACAGGCUGGGCAAGUGUUCCCCCCAUGAACAACAGUCCCAGUAGUUUUUAGAUGAGUAGAAGGGAGAAGUCUGACUUAUCCUAGUUGGGGAAGACAAGCAAGCCUCCCCAGUCCCUUUAAUCCAUAUUCUUGACCACCCCACCUCUCGCCCCCAUCCUCUGCAUCAGAAGGAAGGUAAUGAACUCCAGCUGAGUCUCAUGCUGGUUAUGACUGUAGUAUGUAUAGAGAACUGCUCCCAAGGAGAGGAGAGAAAACCAAGGUGCCUGCACUAAGUCUCUGAGCCAGUGGCAUGGGCUUGCCUGUGAAGAGAUGAGUCUGUGUUUGCUGUCCCCAAACAGCCCCAGCUUUCUUCUCCCUACCCUACCCUUCCUAUCCUGAUUGGGUGGGGGACCAGGAAGUAUUGUGGCCUGCCAAUCCUGGGCACCUCAUACAGACAGGCUACUAGAGGGUAGCUUGGAGGCAGCUUCUUGGCUGUGGGAAAAUGGCAGGCACAACCCUUUCAUAUCAGCACAAGAGGUAGGCUGAUAAUGAUGUUGGGUCCUAGUGUUGGCCACAAGCUUCCCCUCUGUCACCUGACCUCAGUAGCCUCACAGAGCUUUGCUUAUGAAGAGGCCUGCAAAGAGUCACCAUAGAAGAAAGCAGCUUUAGCUGCUGCUCUGCUGGUGUAGUGCUACCUGGGCCAGUGGGAUGGGGAGCUGUUUCUGCCGUCCCACCUGCUUCUUCCCACACGCCUGACUCUAGCCUUCCUGACUAACCUUCUGCACCUGACAUUAGCACUCAUGGUUCCAUUAUUAGUAAUGUCCUUUCUGUUUCCACUGGCCACCUAUGGCUAAUUUUCCAAGACACCAUUAGUGGUUACCUCCUCCUGUGCCAUGGUUUGGUCAUGCCUGCCUUUGAACCCACACCACGAGAGCUCACAUUACAUAGACCUGACUAGGGCAUCGCCAUGGUCUUGACAGUGUCACGGAUGGGGGUCUCACUUUCUUGCCAGUGCUGAUCUCAGACUUCUGGGCUCCUGUGAACCUGCCUCAGCUUUCAAGAAAUUAAGACUCUGGCAAAGCUGGUAGUCCUUUUUAAAGAUGAAGAAAGUGAGGCCCGGAGAGCUCAGCUAAAUUGCUUUGAUAAUGCUUUUUUUUUUUUUUUUACUUACUUUGUGUAUAUUUAACUUCUGAGGUGUGUCAGAUACUAACACAAUGAGUAAGAUGGACAAUAAUCCCUGGAGUUUCCAUUGGACUGUGGAAGGAGGAGGAGGUGACCUGUCUGUCAGUUGUGAGGAGUGGGAUAGAGAUGGAAGACAGCGUUGCUCUGGGGGAUGCUGCGGAGGCCCAGCCUUGGUGCCAGUUAACGAUCAGGUAGAAUCAUGGUGGAAGGGUGAGGGGACAGCACUUCAUGUUGGGAACUGUGGGUCUUAGAGGCAAGAAGUGGAUAGAGACGUCCUGAGUGAAAGAGGAUGAUAGCUCCCAAAGAAGCUUUGCAGUUUGCUUUUCAUUGACUUGCUAAGAAUGGGGAGUGGCCUUCCUACACAGCUGGAGCCCAGCUGUGUAGAACUGACCAAGCCCCACCCCUCCCCCCACCCCAAGGACGUCUGCUGUAACAUCACAUUUUUGCUAUGUGAGCCCAUGUCAUCUCACCAGUUUUCAGUAAAGUCGUCCACAAACACAAAGGCCUGUGUGCAUAUGUCUUUUACAGGGAUGACAGAGCUCUACACUUGUCAACAGAUCACAGACACCAGCAGCUGGCAUGUGUUAUGUGUUGGAGCAGGUACACAAAGGAACGAGUGCACACCAGGGAGGCACACACUAGAAGGGGCACAUGAAUAAGGCCCACUGAACUGUGGGAACAGCAACAGGCCAGCACCAGAAGUCCUAUGCGGACACGUUACAGUGUUACUGAUUGGGGUACAGUAUAUGGC
ensembl:lncRNA